CAGUAGCCACGGGAAUACAGAGGGUGCGAGCGUUAAUCGGAUUUACUGGGCGUAAAGCGUGCGUAGGCGGCUUCUUAAGUCGGAUGUGAAAUCCCUGAGCUUAACUUAGGAAUUGCAUUCGAUACUGGGAAGCUAGAGUAUGGGAGAGGAUGGUAGAAUUCCAGGUGUAGCGGUGAAAUGCGUAGAGAUCUGGAGGAAUACCGAUGGCGAAGGAAGCCAUCUGGCCUAAUACUGACGCUGAGGUACGAAAGCAUGGGGAGCAAACAGGAUUAGAUACCCCGGUAGUCCCUGUCUCUUAUAU
rnacentral:rRNA from 1 species